rnacentral:rRNA from 1 species
UUGUCCUACGGGGGGCAGCAGUGGGGAAUAUUGGGCAAUGGAGGCAACUCUGACCCAGCAACGCCGCGUGAACGAUGAAGGUCUUCGGAUUGUAAAGUUCUUUAAGUGGGGACGAAGAAAGUGACUGUACCCACAGAAUAAGCCUCGGCUAACUACGUGCCAGCAGCCGCGGUAAUACGUAGGAGGCAAGCGUUAUCCGGAAUGACUGGGCGUAAAGGGUGCGUAGGUGGUUUGGCAAGUUGGUAGCGUAAUCCCGGGGCUCAACCUCGGUGCUACUACCAAAACUGCUGGGCUUGAGUGCAGGG